CUGUGUCUCAAUUCAGGGUCUGCAUCCUACCUCGGCCGGAUUCGUCGGCCGGUUACGUCACAGCGCCGCGACUCGGCCUGUCCCAAUUCGAAGACUCCUUCAAAUGCGGUCGACGAAUGCGGCCUUCUUUUCGCCUGAAUGAAGGAUGGGUCGGGUGUAUCCUUCAAUAGGUAGCAUUUCCCAAGAUGCCUUGCGGGCCGGCCGGCAGAAAAACUUAAAAACAAUGGCGGACAGUGAAGCGGGAGCUGUCGGAGAGGAUUGCGCAUAUAAAUGUAAGUAUAAACUUGAAAACUGUCAGUUUAAGGACUUUUUGUGAUACAUGAACGUUAUUUUAGUUAGAAAUGUUACAGUAAAAGUGCUUGUAUUGCGGUCUCGGCUCGUAUGUUCGGCCGCGCUCGGUGUCGUACUUCUCCCACUACGUUUCCCCCUGAUUUUAAUAGAAGUUUGUAUUUUAGGACCAAAAGAGAAAACCAGGGAAUUUAUUAAGCUUAGGGCGGAGAUGGACCACAUGAUCACCGGAGCAAAGUAUUCGGCGGCUGUGGCAUGGAGACUAUUCUGGAGAAAAUGGGCAUCCAGGGGAAGGUGCCAGCGAUGAGCUUCUGGAGCUGAUCUGGGAGGACAUGAGGCUGCAGAGCAGCAGAGAGCACAGGAGAGAAGGAAGAACUUUGACAGCUUUUUACUUUGCUAGAAAAAAAUGGUUAAUGAAGAUUAAACAUGUACAUAUAAAAGAAAUAUCUAAAUAAAAUCAGUUCUGCAUUAAA